UACGGGGGGGGCAAGCGUUGUUCGGAAUUACUGGGCGUAAAGAGCGUGUAGGCGGCCACGCAGGUCCGUUGUGAAAACUGGAGGCUCAACCUCCAGCUGUCGACGGAAACCGUAUGGCUAGAGUCCGGAAGAGGAGAGUGGAAUUCCUGGUGUAGCGGUGAAAUGCGCAGAUAUCAGGAAGAACACCAAUGGCGAAGGCAGCUCUCUGGGACGGUACUGACGCUGAGACGCGAAAGCGUGGGGAGCGAACAGG
rnacentral:rRNA from 1 species